UACAGAGGUCCCAAGCGUUGUUCGGAUUCACUGGGCGUAAAGGGUGCGUAGGUGGUGAGGUAAGUCGGAUGUGAAAGCUCGGGGCUCAACUCCGAAAUGGCAUUGGAAACUACCUUGCUCGAGGGUUGGAGGGGGGACUGGAAUACUUGGUGUAGCAGUGAAAUGCGUAGAUAUCAAGUGGAACACCAGUGGCGAAGGCGAGUCCCUGGACAACUCCUGACACUGAGGCACGAAAGCUAGGGGAGCAAACAGG
rnacentral:rRNA from 1 species